rnacentral:rRNA from 1 species
AACGAACGCUGGCGGCAUGCCUAACACAUGCAAGUCGAACGAGACCUUCGGGUCUAGUGGCGGACGGGUGAGUAACGCGUGGGAACCUGCACUUCAGUGGGGGAUAACGACGGGAAACUGUCGCUAAUACCGCAUACGCCCUACGGGGGAAAGAUUUAUCGCUGAAGGAUGGGCCCGCGUCGGAUUAGCUAGGUGGUGAGGUAAUGGCUCACCAAGGCGACGAUCCGUGGCUGGUCUAAGAGGAUGAUCAGCCACACUGGGACUGAGACACGGCCCAGACUCCUACGGGAGGCAGCAGUGGGGAAUAUUGGACAAUGGGAGAAACCCUGAUCCAGCAAUGCCGCGUGAGUGAUGAAGGCCUUAGGGUUGUAAAGCUCUUUCGGUGGUGACGAUGAUGACGGUAACCACAGAAGAAGCCCCGGCUAACUUCGUGCCAGCAGCCGCAGUAA